rnacentral:tRNA from 2 species
GCACCAUGUGGCACAGGACGGCAUCCGGAUUCGGAUGGUGCGGGACGCGACGGCAUGAAAUGACACGUGAGGAUACCCGGGCGCCGGACUUCUAAUCCGAUGGCCGCAGGUUCGAAUCCUGCCGGGUGCGCCA